UACGAAGGGGGCGAGCGUUGUUCGGAUUUACUGGGCGUAAAGGGCGCGCAGGCGGCUCAUUUUGUCAGGCGUGAAAGCCCCGGGCUCAACCUGGGAAUGGCAGUGGAAACUAGGGGACUGGAAUCUGGCAGAGGGGGGUGGAAUGCCGCGUGUAGCAGUGAAAUGCGUAGAGAUGCGGCGGAACACCGAUGGCGAAGGCAGCCCCCUGGGCUGAGAUUGACGCUCAGGCACGAAAGCGUGGGGAGCAAACAGG
rnacentral:rRNA from 1 species